UGCGUCCCUGCCAUGCCCAAAGAGAAAAUUAAAACGGGUUCAGAAUGAAGAUUCUUUUGUUUAGCAAAACGCCUGAAUGAAUUUUUAGAAUAUGCCAAGGGUGUUCUGCCUGCUGGGAUCGCCAGCCUUCCCCAACCACAGGGUGCU